rnacentral:snRNA from 1 species
AUUGCUUCUCAGCCUUUUAGCUAGAAUCAAGUUUAGCAUCUGUUCUUACCAGUUUAAUACCACAAUAAUAUAUAUAGAAGUAGUUCAAUCAAUAUUUGUCACAUUUCAAACACUCUUU